UUCAUGGCUGUCAACCUGUCAAGUGUCAGUUGUACAAAUUUUGCUCGUUUACUCGUUUCUGCCCAAAUUUUAUGAAAAUGGAUUUUCUAUAAACUGGGUAAUCUUGCCAUGAAAUUCUCAUUGAUUGUCUAUUACCAUCACAAUGGGCAAGAAUGAGUGCAUAUUUACGAGGAAGGAUUGCUGGAGGAUAAGAGGACAAUUUUGCAUGCAGAUUCUUAAUAACACUUAGCGCCAGAAGAUGAAUUAUUUGGUGUUCACCAAGACCAUAGGAUUUCAGAUAUCUGGUAAGGGAGACGCAUUAGUCGAUGAGAGCGCAUGGAUCCUUAUAGCUUGCUUAUAGCUCAACGUGAAUCCGCCACUAGCCGCAACACCUUCACCUAUGAUCGCUGCGAUCUGAACUGUAAUAAUGCGGCCGCUCUGUCAUCGUUGCCCAAUUACCCAAGCCUGGUACGAAGCUGUCCUGUAAUACACCGCUCCCCGUAGGUAUCAUCCUGGGUCACUUCUACUCCCACCUUCUGUGCAACAGCAGGAGUGAGUUACAAAAAUCAAUUUUUCUUUUCUUUAGAAUAAUUUAUUGCUCUCACCAGCCUACAACAUAUGAUAUGAGCACACCUUCCUCUACCUAGGCUAAAAAAACACUUCGAAAUUCUCAGUAACAAGUGAAAAUUGUUACCGUAAGAUGUCGUUUGAUUCGAAUUCAGCUGAUCAACCCCUCCCCCCCAGCCCCCUCAACAUUUUAUUACCUGUUAACCUGUUUACUGUUUCUGCUUGCGCUUGUCUAGUUGGCUAGUUCUAGUUGGAUGCUUGGCUUCUUCAAUUCUUCAUGGAAAUAUAUCUUCAUAGUUGUUCAUGGAAAGUCGUACGACUGGCCCUGCCUUCCACAAUUGAACUCAACAUGUGGUCAAUCCAGAUUGCUGAAUGCUAACGACGAAGGUUGAUUUCCCUUCUUCAAUUGAACACUAGUUUGAAAUCCUUGGGACCCCAUUGCCAAGUUCAUAUCUGCUUCUUGUCUGACGAAGAACAAUGGCAGCCAUUGUAACACACACAACCAUCAUAUCCUAGACUUGGCUAGUGAGGAGGAUUUCUUGAUCUAGCCUGCUGCUAUAGCUGCCAUCCAACUUUACCAGGCAAUAAGUUUGGUUUGAAGUCUGAAAAAAAUCCCAAAUGAACUUUCACUUCGAUGGUCUCCAUUAUUGGCUCCAACCCCGCUGCUUUGUUGAUAAAGGAGUUGGUUCUGAGUGGCAAACUCACUGAGUAUUGUGUGGUUUUUUCCUCUCCUAUUACUUGUGCAUGCAAUGUGAGAAGCUGUUGACCUCUUCGUGGGAUCUCUGGAAGGAAAACCUCACCAAGACAAAGGAUUGAAUGGUGACAUUUUUUCGAUUAUUUAGUUGGCUUCACCUUCGGCGUCAAUAAAUAGCGUCCAUGCAAGACCGAUACCUUCAACAAGUACACCCUCCGCAUGUCCUAUGAAGCCUUACGUCGGUUGAUUGACAGCAUAAUGGACAAGGCAAUAAAUAAUGUUUGAAUAUUUAUUAGAUUUUGUGUUUCGAUGGCUAUUUGAUUUGCUGGGGACCCAUUAAAUAAUAGGAACAGAACAGGCACUCGUCAGGGGGCAGAGAGUUUAGUGUCCGUGGCAAAUAUCCGCCAUUUAUUUUCUAGCCAGUUUCGGAAAUGGUGUUUGUGAUGAAAGUGGUGGUAGGUAAGACAAGGGUAAAAGACUUUUUGCAUCAAGUUGAACAGUGGUUGUUCUUUGAAGAUAAUUUCAUGUUGCGGAAGUUGCAACCAGUAUGUUGUUGUAUUGUCUGCAGUAUACUGUUUUUAUCUUGAGAAGAGAAAAAAGUUUUAUAUUAAAUCAAUAAUAAACGAUCGAAAUUGGGAAUAUUA
rnacentral:lncRNA from 1 species